UACGUAGGGGGCUAGCGUUGUCCGGAAUCAUUGGGCGUAAAGAGCGUGUAGGCGGCCCGGUAAGUCCGCUGUGAAAGUCGGGGGCUCAACCCUCGAAUGCCGGUGGAUACUGUCGGGCUAGAGUGCGGAAGAGGCGAGUGGAAUUCCUGGUGUAGCGGUGAAAUGCGCAGAUAUCAGGAGGAACACCAAUUGCGAAGGCAGCUCGCUGGGACGUAACUGACACUGAGGCGCGAAAGCGUGGGGAGCAAACAGG
rnacentral:rRNA from 1 species